AUUGAACGCUGGCGGCAUGCCUUACACAUGCAAGUCGAACGGCAGCAUGGAAGAGCUUGCUCUUCUGAUGGCGAGUGGCGAACGGGUGAGUAAAGCAUCGGAACGUACCGUGUAAUGGGGGAUAACGUAGCGAAAGUUACGCUAAUACCGCAUACGACCUGAGGGUGAAAGCAGGGGAUCGCAUGACCUCGCGUUAUACGAGCGGCCGAUGUCAGAUUAGCUAGUUGGUAGGGUAAAGGCCUACCAAGGCGACGAUCUGUAGCGGGUCUGAGAGGAUGAUCCGCCACACUGGGACUGAGACACGGCCCAGACUCCUACGGGAGGCAGCAGUGGGGAAUUUUGGACAAUGGGGGAAACCCUGAUCCAGCCAUGCCGCGUGAGUGAAGAAGGCCUUCGGGUUGUAAAGCUCUUUCGGCCGGGAAGAAAUCGCACAGGCUAAUACUCUGUGUGGAUGACGGUACCGGCAUAAGAAGCACCGGCUAACUACGUGCCAGCCGCCGCCGUAA
rnacentral:rRNA from 1 species